UCGGGAAUUUUGGGCAAUGGGCGAAAGCCUGACCCAGCAACGCCGCGUGAAGGAUGAAGCAUUUCGGUAUGUAAACUUCGUAAGAAUAGGAAGAAUAAAUGACGGUACUAUUUGUAAGGUCCGGCUAACUACGUGCCAGCAGCCGCGGUAAUACGUAGGGACCAAGCGUUGUCCGGAUUUACUGGGCGUAAAGGGCGCGUAGGCGGUGUGUCAAGUCAGUUGUGAAAUCUCCGAGCUUAACUCGGAACGGUCAACUGAUACUGUCACACUAGAGUACAGAAGGGGCAAUCGGAAUUCUUGGUGUAGCGGUGAAAUGCGUAGAUAUCAAGAGGAACACCUGAGGCGAAGGCGGGUUGCUGGGCUGACACUGACGCUGAGGCGCGAAAGCCAGGGGAGCAAACGGGGAUUAGAUACCCACGUAGUCCCUGAGCGGGCUGGCAAGGCGCAU
rnacentral:rRNA from 1 species